UACCACAGAGAUGGACAACGCAUGCGAACCCAACCCCAUAAACCCAUUUUCUUUGUUGAAGCCCUUAAAUCUCAAACCCAAUCCACAAAUUUGCUACAGUGCUAUUUAAUUUUGUUGGUGUAUUUCUUUUAGCCGAUUUUGGGAUCUCCAGAACUCAUCUUCUCCCCGUAACUUGUCUGAGGGCUCCUUUCAUUGCAAUUGUUUUGAUCAGUUUCUUCCAUCUCCAAAUCUUCGCAACUUCGCCCUUGAUGUAGAGUGAUGUGAGUUUUGUUGUUCCUGAUGUAGAUUCUAGGUUUCUUGCUACCAGUUAAGAGUAGUUUAUUAGUUUAUUUUAUAUUCUUAUAGAUAUUGAGGUUAGAGGAAAUUUAAAUAGUUUAUUAGUUUUGAUAAACCUAUCAUUACUUCUUUUAGGUGUUAUGAUGUGUGAAUAUAGCUUUAGAUAUAACUCACCUAGGUUACAACUAUUUUGUUUUUAUUUUCAUUAAAUCUCUGUUUCCAUGCUCUUAGUGCUUUUUUCUUUUCCUCGUUGAGCUUUUUGAAAUUGGACCAAGAAAGAUUUUCAUUUGUUGAUUCCAAUGCAUGUUUGACAAAUUAACAUAUGAUAAAUGGAAGGAAGCAAGAGGCUUCAAAUCUUCGGCUCCAACAAGCUUGAUAAGGAAAAUGUCAUAUAUUUUUUAACUUAUUUACUGAAUUUUUUGAUUGAUAUGUAAAAUUUGGAUAUUAAGCCUAUAUAUAUUUUAAAAAACAAAUUAACUGCAAAGUAAAGUACUGAAGAUUUUGGGGUUUAUGCAGAAUUCCGUGUCAUUUGGCCAUGGAAGCCAGAACUACAUUCUUUUAUGAAGGUGACUCCUCAAUGUCAACUUCAUUUUAAAGUUUCAAGUUGGAGAGGUUUCUUUCUAAGAUUAUCUCUCCAUCUAUGAUAUGGCUCCUCUUGAUGGUUGGCUGAGUUUUUGAUGUAGCUUUUGGGAAUGAAGUAAUGGUACCCAAAAGUCAUGGCUAGAAUUUUUGUGAACAGGUUCAAUGUGUUGUGAUGCCAAGGAGCGUAGCUGUUUUCACAAUGUUAAUCUGGCUUUGGUGUUUCCACAAUGCUAAUUUAGCUUUGGUGUUUUCACAAUGCUAAUUUGGCUUUGGCUAUUAUUGCUGCCUUGGUUCAGCUUAUAUUUUGACACAGGUUUGGUUUUAUUAUAAAUAUCUAGAUUUCAUUAGUGAGUUGAAGACUAGGAGCUUUGCAAGGAAAUAAAGUUUUUGUUUGAGAAGAUUUCAUGUGGCUGGUAUAAUGGAGCUUCAUCCUAAUUAGUACUAUGGAUGUAAUUCUGAUUGUAGAUCUCCUAAAAAAAAAUUCAUAUCACACAGAUUUUGUAGAUUUUUA